rnacentral:rRNA from 1 species
GAUGAACGCUGGCGGUAUGCUUAACACAUGCAAGUCGAACGGGGUGCAUAGUCACCUAGUGGCGGACGGGUGAGUAACGCGUGAGAAUCUGGCCUCAGGUCCGGGACAACCACGGGAAACGGUGGCUAAUACCGGAUGUGCCAUAUUGGUGAAAGAUUAAUUGCCUGAGGAUGAGCUCGCGUCUGAUUAGCUAGUUGGUGGGGUAAAGGCUUACCAAGGCGACGAUCAGUAACUGGUCUGAGAGGAUGACCAGUCACACUGGGACUGAGACACGGCCCAGACUCCUACGGGAGGCAGCAGUGGGGAAUUUUCCGCAAGGGGCGAAAGCCUGACGGAGCAAUACCGCGUGAGGGAGGAAGGCUCUUGGGUUGUAAACCUCUUUUCUCAGGGAAGAAGAAUGACGGUACCUGAGGAAUCAGCAUCGGCUAACUCCGUG